rnacentral:rRNA from 1 species
UACGUAGGGUGCGAGCGUUAAUCGGAAUUACUGGGCGUAAAGCGUGCGCAGGCGGUCUGUUAAGACAGAUGUGAAAUCCCCGGGCUUAACCUGGGAACUGCAUUGGUGACUGGCAGGCUUUGAGUGUGGCAGAGGGAGGUAGAAUUCCACGUGUAGCAGUGAAAUGCGUAGAGAUGUGGAGGAAUACCGAUGGCGAAGGCAGCCUCCUGGGCCAACACUGACGCUCAUGCACGAAAGCGUGGGGAGCAAACAGG